GUCGUGUGCAACAUCCACGCCGGCACCAAGGCGCUGCAGCUGACGCAGUGGGAGAGCAACCACGGCAACAUCAUCAAGGGGGAAGGGUACCUGGACUUCAUCAACCGGUGCUGCUUCAAGGAGAAUGACGUGGUCGAGAUCUGGGCCUUCAAGGAGCGCUACUUCCACCUCUUCGGCGUCGACAUGUGCCAUGCGAGCCCGCUCUACGUUGUGCUGGCCAAGAAAGAGCAGCGGCCGGCGGCAUCGUCCAUGGGGAUGGCCAAGUGUACUAUGUAG
rnacentral:rRNA from 1 species